GACGAACGCUGGCGGCGUGCUUAACACAUGCAAGUCGAACGGUGAAGCGCCUUCCUUUUGGGCGGGUGGGGAGGAGGGGCGAACGGGUGAGUAACACGAGAGUAACCUGCCCCCUUCUUCUGGAUAACCGCAGGAAAGUGUGGCUAAUACGGGAUAUUCUGGGUCUGUCGCAUGAUGGGUCUGGGGAAGAUAUUGUUUCGGAGGGGGAUGGGCUCGCGGGCUAUCAGCUGGGUGGUGGGGUGAUGGCCUACCAAGGCGGUGCCGGGUGGCCGGCCUGAGGGGGUUGACCGUCACACUGGGACUGAGACGCCGCCCAGACUCCUGCGGGGGGCAGCAGUGGAGAAUAUUGCACAGUGGGCGCGCGCGUGCUGCCGCGACGGCGUGUGUGGGAUGGACGCCUGCGGGUUGUGACCCUCUUUCGCCAGUAAAGCAGGCCUGCCUUGUUUGUGGGUGGGUUGACGGCAGCUGAAUAAAAAGCGCCGGCUAACUACGUG
rnacentral:rRNA from 1 species